rnacentral:lncRNA from 1 species
CGGCCGCGGGGCCAGAGCAAGACCGUGACCGCGGCGGGCCAGUACUCCCCCGGCAUGACUAUGAGCGUGUGAUAGCCCCGGGUCCUGCUGGUGAGGUCUCGGGUCGCGGCAGCACCCCUGCCAUCCGGACUCCUGGCUAGCCCGGCCGGCCGGCAGGACCCCCACGAAGGACUUUUCUAAACACACAUAUAUACACACACACAAACUCAAAGGACCUCAGAGAAGUGCAGGCCUUCAAACCUGUGAGCUAUCACAGGGCUGGGGGGUAAGGGCAGGGGUUCUGCCAAUAAAUGCCAUUCAGUUUUGUCUUUGGU